GACCCGUUCGUCUAGGGGUCUAGGACAUCGGCCUUUCACGCCGACAACACGGGUUCGAUUCCCGUACGGGUCGCCA
rnacentral:tRNA from 1 species